UAUUAAUUUUCGUCUCAUAGAGAUUUUACAUGCAUGACCUACGUGGAUGAGAUUCAGAGUAGAUACUAUAGGGCGAUACUAAACACCUGCCUAUAAAUAUCCGCACCUCCUACGACUACACCACCUCCUAUUUAUUUCCAUAUUGCAGUGAGUCAUGCAAUGUUAACGUCAGGUACUCAAUACUUUAAAACAGUCUGCCGUCGACGGAGUAUCUUUUAGACGAUGAUUAUAGAUCAGAUCUGCCUGGUUGUUGAUUGUGGCAAACCCUUCAAGAAUGGCUCAACACAGGAAUAAAAGUUCAAAAGGAAAUUUAUUUGUCGACAAUUUAAAAUUCAAGUGACAUGUAAUACAAUACAAAAAUACACUCUCCAAAGCAGCCCGAGAGGUCACCGGAACGAGUGUCUAUAUGUUGAGAUGAGUUGUCUCCCUUUGACUAAUUGACAAUGAAUAUAAGCAGAUUCUUUGAAUUUAGUACGAUUGUUUUGAUUAAAUGAGAUGUAGUAUUACCUCUUUGAUUUCUACAAAUAUUAAUAGCUAUAGAACAAAUUAAUGAAAAUUGCAUUUCUCAUAAGAAUGUCUAUUAAAAGGCCCUUAUACCGAAUAUUACCGAAUGUAUUGUAUACUAAACGGUAUAUAUAUUUUACAUUAUUGCGAUUUUCACGAUCACGGCUGAAAGUAAGUACUUGAAAAUGAAAUGACCGAUUGCAAAAUCAGUACAUAUAACAGAAAAAUAUUAAUAUCUUUUGUUAAUUGUUAAUCGUUACAUUAAGGUAUCACAAUUAUCACAAACUCAAAAGUAAAAAUUGUAAAACGAACAAAUGUCACAUAUAUCGCAGUGACCUACAUAAGUAGUGUUUGACCUCAAACAUCACACAAAUGUUGCUUAAUGGCGAAGUCCAUGAAAGGUCUACGGACGUCAGCACGAAUGAAGGAAUGGACCAAUGGAAAUGCUAAUAAUAUAUGUCCUUUUACUCUGCUGUUAUGACAUUAAAAAUACAAUAAAUCUCAAUCAAAAUCACAGUAGGUUAAAUAAACUGAUUGAUCUGUAUACAUAUUAAAACAAUGAGGCAGCCAUGUCGUUAACUAAAACAUAUUAACAGAGAUGGUCACGAUGAUGAGUUUACCAAAAUAGAUAUCCAUUUGAGCAUAUGUGUGAAGCAGUAACAGGUAUUUGUACAUAAUCUAUUUGUAUAUAUUCACGCAGAUAAGCAAUGAAAUUGCUUAUCAUGAACUAUUUGAAUAAGUUUACAUUUGUUGGUACAGAGUUAAUGAAUUAAUGAAUUAUCAGCAAAUCAUAAGCUUCAAAAUACGAACAAAUUAUGUCCUUAAAUUCUGAAAUUUUAAUGGGAAAUUCCUUCAUGAGCAUCUUGAGCACGUACACGAUUAUUCUGAUAUGAAUAUUUACGGAUAAUAUCGACGCUUAAUAUGAAAACAACGUUUGUACUGGCAGAAGUGAAUUCUAAGAAAAACACCUUUUUUAGUCACAAUUUCAGAUGAUAGUGGUAUUAUUCCGUGAACUCGUUAUUUAACAAUUGAAUUCCAGGAAAUGUUCAAAGUCAGUAAAAAACUGUGUUAAUGUUAAAUACCAUGUACAUCAAUCAAUCAGAAGUUAUACAAAUCAUUGGAAAAAAACAUGGAUUGAUUUAAUCUAUUUAAGUGAAAUACAACCUCUUAAAUCAUAACUCAAAUUAAACAAAAAUCAAAAUGAUAUAUUACGUAAGUUCAAUAAUCCAGACAAACUUUAAAGACAAACAAGAUACAUACUCAAAUUUCCAUGGAAAAAUCCUUCUUGAGCAUCUUGACCCACCAUCUUGGAUUGCUAAGCAAGACAUCUGUUACUGUUAAUUCUUCGAAAAUCUACGUUGUCAGUAAAUGACCAAUAACAUUUUGCUUACACCUGAAGUUAGUAGACUCUUUGAUCUUUGAACCUCAAAAGACCGCCAAUUGCAGGUCCCAUAGUUCAUACAUGUAUAUGCUAUUUGAAUGAAGGUCCCAUAGUUCUUACAUGCUAUUUCAAUGAAGGUCCUAUAGUUCAUACAUGCUAUUUGAAUGAAGGUCCCAUAUUUCAUACAUGCUAUUUUAAUGAAGGUCAAACAGUUCAUACAUGCUAUUCGAAUGAAGGUCCCUUAGUUCAUACGUGCUAUUUGAAAGGAGGCCCAUAGUUCAAACGUGCUAUUUGAAUGAAGGUCCCAUAGUUCAUACAUGCUAUUUGAAUGAAGGUCCCAUAGUUCAUACAUGCUAUUUAAAUGAAGGUCCCAUUGUUCAUAAAUGCUAAUUGAAUGAAGGUCAAAUAGUUCAUACAUGCUAUUUGAAUGAAGGUCCCAUAGUUCAUACGUGCUAUUUAAAUGAAGGUCCCAUUGUUCAUACAUGCUAUUUGAAUGAAGGUCCCAUAGUUCAUACAUGCUAUUUAAAUAAAUGUCCCAUUGUUCAUACAUGCUAAUUGAAUGAAGGUCCCAUGGUUCAUACGUGCUAUUUAAAUGAAGGUCCCAUACUUCAUACAUGCUAUUUAAAUGAAGAUCCCAUAGUUCAUGAAUGCUUUUUGAAUGAAUGUCCCCAAAGUUAAAACAUGCUAUUUGAAUGAAGGUCGCAUAGUUCAUACAUGCUAUUUAAAUGAAGGUCCCAUUGUUCAUACAUGCUAUUUGAAUUAAUGUCCCAUAGUUCAUAUAUGCUAUUUGAAUGAAGGUCCCAUAGUUCAUACGUGCUAUUUGAACGAAGGUCCCAUAGUUCAUACAUGCUAUUUUAAAAGGAAGGUCCCAUAGUUCAUACGUACGGUAUCAUAGUUCAUUCAUGCUAUUUUUAUGAAGGUCAAAUAGUUCAUACAUGCUAUUUGAAUGAAGGUCCCAUAGUAAUACAUGCUAAUUGAAUGAAGAUCCCAUAGUUCAUACGUGCUAAUUGAAUGAAGGCCCAUAGUUCAAACGUGCUAUUUGAAUAAAGGUCCCAUAGUUCAUACAUGCUAUUUGAAUGAAGGUCCAAUAGUUCAUACGUACGGUAUCAUAGUUCAUUCAUGCUAUUUGAAUGAAGGUCAAAUAGUUCAUACAUGCUAUUUGAAUGAAAGUCCCUUGGUUCAUACAUGCUAAUUGAAUAAAGGUCCAUAGUUCAUUCAUGCUAUUUGAAUGAAGGCUCAUAGUUCAAACGUGCUAUUUGAAUGAAGGUCCCAUAUUUCACACAUGCUAUUUGAAUGAAGGUCCAAUAGUUCAUACGUACGGUAUCAUAGUUCAUUCAUGCUAUUUGAAUGAAUGUCCUAUAGUUCGUACAUCCUAUUUAAAUGAAGGUCCCAUAGUUCAUACAUGCUAUUUGAAUGAAGGUCCCAUAGUUCAUACGUACGGUAUCAUAGUUCAUUCAUGCUAUUUUUAUGAAGGUCAAAUAGUUCAUACAUGCUAUUUGAAUGAAGGUCCCAUAGUUCAUACAUGAUAUUUUAAUGAAGGUCCCAUAGUUCAUACAUGCUAUUUGAAUGAAGGUCCCAUAGUUCAUACGUACGGUAUCAUAGUUCAUUCAUGCUAUUUUUAUGAAGGUCAAAUAGUUCAUACAUGCUAUUUGAAUGAAGGUCCCAUAGUUCAUACAUGAUAUUUUAAUGAAGGUCUCAUAGUUCAUACGUGCUAGUUGAAUGAAGGUCCCAUAGUUCAUACGUGCUAUUUGAAUGAAGGUCCCAUAGUUCAUACAUGCUAUUUGAAUGAAGGUCCCAUAGAUAAUAUAUGCUAUUUGAAUGAAGAUCCCAUAGUUCAUACAUGCUAUUUAAAUGAAGGUCCCAUUGUUAAUAUAUGCUAUUUGAAUAAAUGUCCCAUAGUUCAUGCAUGCUAUUUGAAUGAAUGUCCCCAAAGUUAAAACAUGCUAUUUGAAUGAAGGUCCCAUGGUUCAUACAUGCUAUUUAAAUGAAGGUCCCAUUGUUCAUAUAUGCUAUUUGAAUGAGGGUCCCACAGUUCAUACAUGCUAUUUAAAUGAAGGUCCCAUUGUUAAUAUAUGCUAUUUGAAUAAAUGUCCCAUAGUUCAUGCAUGCUAUUUGAAUGAAUGUCCCCAAAGUUAAAACAUGCUCUUUGAAUGAAGGUCCCAUGGUUCAUACAUGCUAUUUAAAUGAAGGUCCCAUUGUUCAUAUAUGCUAUUUGAAUGAGGGUCCCACAGUUCAUACAUGCUAUUUAAAUGAAGGUCCCAUUGUUAAUAUAUGCUAUUUGAAUAAAUGUCCCAUAGUUCAUGCAUGCUAUUUGAAUGAAUGUCCCCAAAGUUAAAACAUGCUCUUUGAAUGAAGGUCCCAUGGUUCAUACAUGCUAUUUAAAUGAAGGUCCCAUUGUUCAUAUAUGCUAUUUGAAUGAGGGUCCCACAGUUCAUAC